rnacentral:sRNA from 1 species
AAACAGUGAAUUAUCCGGGUAGAAGUCGGUAGAGCCAGAAACUCGCUUUUGAUGUUGCUGUGCCCCCUAGUGGCGAGCUGGAUUCUAAAUCGUGCCCUUUAUUCCCUGCAGCCCUGAAGUUCAGUCCAUCUUGAAAAUUUCCCAACCUCAGGAGCCUGAGCUUAUGAAUGCCAACCCUUCUCCUCCACCAAGUCCUUCUCAGCAAAUCAACCUUGGCCCGUCGUCCAAUCCUCAUGCUAAACCAUCUGACUUUCACUUCUUGAAAGUGAUCGGGAAGGGCAGUUUUGGAAAGGUUCUUCUAGCAAGACACAAGGCAGAAGAAGUGUUCUAUGCAGUCAAAGUUUUACAGAAGAAAGCAAUCCUGAAAAAGAAAGAGGUAUGAGAUGUGCUUGAUGGGCUGGCAUUGGAGGUAGACACUGCUUGAAUAAUCUUAAUCUUGGAAUGUUGGUGCCAAGUUGAAACUUGCCAUUAAAUCUGAAUUGUCAUUUUCCUAGGAGAAGCAUAUUAUGUCGGAGCGGAAUGUUCUGUUGAAGAAUGUGAAGCACCCUUUCCUGGUGGGCCUUCACUUCUCUUUCCAGACUGCUGACAAAUUGUACUUUGUCCUAGACUACAUUAAUGGUGGAGAGGUGAGCAGGGGGAAUAGAAGUCAACUCUUAGUGUCUCUGCACAGCCUGCUUUGUUUUAGUUUGAGAAAAAAGUUUUCAAAGAUACUUGGUGGGGAGAAUGUUACCAGAAUUAGCAUUUCCUUCAACCUGUCAGGUUUAUAGUUAAUAGAUUACUUGGGGCCACUUCCUGCAGUUGUUCUUUUGCUGUAUGUGUCAAAACUAAUUAAAUUCAUUUGCAAGCCAGACUGACUUUGUUCUGUCUCCUGC